rnacentral:ncRNA from 2 species
UAAGACCUUCAGGGAUAGGUGUAAUUCCUUACCGGCGGUAUGGCCUUGGCCGAGCCCGCGAGCCCCUCGGGGCAGAUCCGGUGAGAAGCCGGAGCCGACAGUGAAAGUCUGGAUGGGAGAAGGUUCAU